rnacentral:misc_RNA from 1 species
CACCACUCAAGCUCUGCUUGGUAUUAGGUCUCGCCUGCUAAAGGCGGGCCGUAAAAUCAGUGGCGGUGCCAUCUGGCUUCAAGCUUAGUAAUUUUUCUAGCUUAGGAGUUCCAGGUGAGUGCCUGCCAGCAACCCCAAUUUUUAAAGG